GUUAAGUAUGGACAUGUAUGCACACAGACACUGAAUUUUUACAUUAUUAUUAGCUAGACUGAUAUCAUGCUCAGCACUCUUGUUUAUUUAACUCGUUCGUUCCGUGUGUAUACCGCAUAACUAAAAUCCACGAACAUAGUACUUUCAACUGAAUUCAAUAAUAAUUCUUACUCAACGCUACCAAUCAUGGCCUCCUCUGGGUCUCGAUCCAUUACAAACUCUGGUUCCGCUUCUGUAAUUAUCAAUUAAGUUAGGAUAGAUAACUGUAAUCUUGCUUUUCUUGUGUAAUCUAUGAGUUUCCAAGCCUUUAUUUCUGACAUUUAAGGCAAAGAAUUACUAGUAACCAAAAGGGAGAAAAGUGAACAUUAUGCUUGAGAUUCUUUAGAGAUCUAAAUGGAACUGUUAAGAAUUAAAUUGUCAACUUCAGAACUUAGAAGACAGCCCAGCACUAAUGCACCUCUUAGACCUUGCCAACUUCAGAGUUAGGUAGAUUCCUCGGUAGUUUCUUGACUUCAUAGCCGGCCUCCAUAAUUGGUGAGGUUUGUUUUCCAUUUACACUUUGACGUUGGGAGGAGGGCUUCUGUUCUAUCUAGUACUCUUUUUCUCCUUCUGUUGAACUCAUUAGCGAGAAUCCCUUUUCUCAGACGAUUGAUGAGAGGACAAGAAAGUUAAUUAAUAAGGGUUGUAUGCUAAUUAUGCAAUAUAACAGCCAUGAUUGAUUCAUUUCAUGAUAACUAUACAGGAGCUAAACAAUAACUAAAUUAUUAACUUUUCAUAUAAACAGCAUUUUCCUGUUGACAUGGCCAUGCUGCUCCAUGGCCGAAUAUUUCUUUCAAUGGGACCUUUCUUUCCUGGCAAGUUGAAAAUAAUUUCGAUAAAUGCGUAUACCAUUUUAAUAAUUUCACAAAUAGUCAUAGAUGGAUCUUUAAUUUUUUAGCAUAUAUAAAUUGCAAAUGAUGCAUAUAAACUUGUGAAAUACGUUUAAGAGUUUAGGAACAUGUAAUCCAGGGCAUAAUAGUAAUAUUAGCUUGUGGUCAUGAAUGGCAACUGGAAAAUUUGCUUAAUAGUGUGUGCUGUUUGACUUUGAUGUGCAAGUGCAGUUCAAGUAAGCAGGAGCCUACAAUCUUUUUUUGUUUUUUAGAAAUUUGCAAAUCAUUUCUUUUCAUGUUUAAAAAUAUACCAAUAACAUCCAAAUGAAUAUGAAGGGAGGUUUGUUCAUGAUGAUUACAUUACUUUUCUCAGCUUGGAAUACUCUUUGGCCACA
rnacentral:misc_RNA from 1 species